AUUUAGAUUGCUGCUUCCUAGAAUACCAUGUGCUCCAUGAAGGUAAGAAGAGCUCAUCUCGGAUCAUCGCGGCUCGGAGAUUGUAGGCCAUGAUAGGGGUGGCGUACUUCAGCUGGUGUGGUAGCAGCAAGAUCUUGCUAAUGAGGAGGGGAACAAACUUCUCACCCAAUUUGGCAAUUUGAGUAACUGGAUUAUUGUAUGGAACCUGAUGUAUAUGACUUGUGCUUAAAGAAAAAAGCUCCAAGCUCCUCGAC